UACUUGUUUCCAGAGGAAAGUGGUUCUGUAGCAGGGAUUUACAUCAUGCACCAGGUCCUGGGAUUGCGUCUUAACUAUCUGCAAUGGUCAUUCUGCUUCAUGAGAAAGGGACUACAGAUUGCAGCACUGAGUAAGUGUAAUUGAGAAUUAAUGUGUUCUGUGGCUCAGAGGUGGAAAAUAAAACUGAGGCAGCCCAUAUGAGGAAAAAGUGGAUUCUUGUCAU
rnacentral:lncRNA from 1 species